rnacentral:pre_miRNA from 1 species
GGCAGGCGAGGGAAUCUGAGAAGGUGCACAAGGUUUGUGUCCAGUACAAUCCACACCUUGCGCAACUCAGGUCUACUCGUGCCCU